GAUAAACGCUGGCGGCGUGCUUAACACAUGCAAGUCGAACGGGGUUAUUUCGAGAAGCUUGCUUCAUGAAAUAACCUAGUGGCGGACGGGUGAGUAACGCGUGGGAAACCUGCCUCGUACUGGGGGAUAACAGUUGGAAACGACUGUUAAUACCGCAUAAGCGCACAAUGUUGCAUGACAUAGUGUGAAAAACUCCGGUGGUACGAGAUGGUCCCGCGUCUGAUUAGCUAGUUGGUGAGGUAACGGCCCACCAAGGCGACGAUCAGUAGCCGGCCUGAGAGGGUGAUCGGCCACAUUGGAACUGAGAUACGGUCCAGACUCC
rnacentral:rRNA from 1 species